GCUAACGUAGCUUAACUAAAGCAUAACACUGAAGAUGUUAAGAUGAACCCUAGAGUGGUUCCGUAGGCA
rnacentral:tRNA from 1 species